AGCGAACGCUGGCGGUAUGCUUAACACAUGCAAGUCGAGCGCGAAAGUGACUUCGGUCAUAAGUAGAGCGGCGGACGGGUGAGUAACACGUGGAUAAUCUGCCUUUAGGACUGGGAUAACCCUGGGAAACUAGGGCUAAUACCGGAUAAGACCACAGGUUCCAUGGAACCAGGGGUAAAAGGCGGCCUUCGGGCUGUCGCCGAAAGAUGAGUCCGCGUCCCAUCAGGUAGUUGGUGAGGAACGGCUCACCAAGCCGAAGACGGGUAGCCGACCUUAGCGGGUGAUCGGCCACACGGGGACUGAGACACGGGCCCCGACUCCUACGGGAGGCAGCAGUGGGGAAUCUUGGGCAAUGGGCGCAAGCCUGACCCAGCAAUACCGCGUGAGGGAUGAA
rnacentral:rRNA from 1 species